CAAUAGCGUAUAUUAAAGUUGUUGCAGUUAAAAAGCUCGUAGUUGGAUUUCUGGUGGGAGCGAUCGGUCUGGCGCUUAGCGCGAGUACUUGCAUCGUCUCCGGCCAUCCUUGGGGAGAGUCUGUCUGGCAUUAGGUUGUCGGGCAGAGGAUCCUCAUCGUUUACUGUGAAAAAAUUAGAGUGUUCAAAGCAGGCUUAUGCCGUUGAAUAUAUUAGCAUGGAAUAAUAAGAUAGGACUUUGGUACUAUUUUGUUGGUUUGCGCACCAAAGUAAUGAUUAAUAGGGACAGUUGGGGGUAUUCGUAUUUCGUUGUCAGAGGUGAAAUUCUUGGAUUUACGGAAGACGAACUACUGCGAAAGCAUUUACCAAGGAUGUUUUCAUUAA
rnacentral:rRNA from 1 species